rnacentral:ncRNA from 1 species
CCGCCUCUCAGGUUCUGGCAAAGCCCUCGGAAUGGCCAGAACCCUUUGGGCCGAAACAGACAUUUCGGCCCCUUUUU